GGUGAAAUCACGAGGCAGAGGUGAUAAACAGUCAGGAAAAGGAGAGUCCUUCCGGGUUAGGGUAUGAGGCAUGAUUAGAUUGACCCCACAAGCCCGACAAGCUAUCAAGGACACCAGAAGAAUCAUAAGGGCCGCUGAUAGAGCUGCUUCCCAGUCGGAAAGUGAGUAUAUGCCCUCCCAGGAGGUCCGACUCCGACUCCACGCCAGAAUAUGUUCCUGACUGGUCGGAGAGGACUAGAUUGAUAGAUCCACCUCCUGGCACCCCUACUGCCCAAGCAUCAAUGCAAAUUUCUUCUGAGUUAUUUGAGGGCUCAGCUGUGGGCAGUGACAAUGCCUAUUCUACCUCACCUAUAGCUUCACUAUCCGCUGGCAAAAUUCUAGGGCUUGAAAAUUACAUAGAUGAACAACAAUUAUCUUCUUCACUCCAUUAAGACAUUUUCAGG